GAAAUGCGAUAAGUAAUGUGAAUUGCAGAAUUCAGUGAAUCAUCGAAUCUUUGAACGCACAUUGCGCCCCCAGGUAUUCCGGGGGGCAUGCCUGUUCGAGCGUCAUUUCACCACUCAAGCCUCGCUUGGUAUUGGGCAACGCGGUCCGCCGCGUGCCUCAAAUCGACCGGCUGGGUCUUCUGUCCCCUAAGCGUUGUGGAAACUAUUCGCUAAAGGGUGUUCGGGAGGCUACGCCGUAAAACAACCCCAUUUCUAAGGUUGACCUCGGAUCAGGUAGGGAUACCCGCUGAACUUAAGC
rnacentral:misc_RNA from 1 species